AUUGAACGCUGGCGGCAUGCCUUACACAUGCAAGUCGAACGGCAGCACGGGUGCUUGCACCUGGUGGCGAGUGGCGAACGGGUGAGUAAUACAUCAGAACGUACCUUAUCGUGGGGGAUAACGCAGCGAAAGCUGUGCUAAUACCGCAUACGCCCUGAGGGGGAAAGCGGGGGAUCGAAAGACCUCGCGCGAUUAGAGCGGCCGAUGCCUGAUUAGCUUGUUGGUGGGGUAAAAGCCCACCAAGGCGACGAUCAGUAGCUGGUCUGAGAGGACGAUAAGCCACACUGGGACUGAGACACGGCCAAGACUCCUACGGGAGGCAGCAGUGGGGAAUUUUUGACAAUGGGGGCAACCCUGAUCCAGCAAUGCCGCGUGAGUGAAGAAGGCCUUCGGGUUGUAAAGCUCUUUUGUCAGGGAAGAAACACCGGCUCUAACACAGUCCGGGAAUGACGGUACCUGAAGAAUAAGCACCGGCUAACUACGUGCCAGCCGCCGCCGUAA
rnacentral:rRNA from 1 species